UACGUAGGGUGCGAGCGUUAAUCGGAAUUACUGGGCGUAAAGCGUGCGCAGGCGGUUCGUUGUGUCGGCGGUGAAAGCCCCGGGCUCAACCUGGGAAUGGCCGUUGAAACUGGCGAACUGGAGUGUGGCAGAGGGGGGUGGAAUUCCGCGUGUAGCAGUGAAAUGCGUAGAUAUGUGGAGGAAUACCGAUGGCGAAGGCAGCCCCCUGGGAUAACACUGACGCUCAUGCACGAAAGCGUGGGGAGCAAACAGG
rnacentral:rRNA from 1 species